rnacentral:lncRNA from 1 species
UCCUUUUUUGGAUAGGUAUGUGCCGAUGAAAACUUGUCUACAUGAAAUACCCUCAGCUAUAGAACAGCAUGGAGCAGAGUGGCCUGAAGAAUGGCCAAAGAGACUUGAAACAUACCCGGAGUGGUUAACCAGCAAAGAGAAAGCCAUUGAAGACACAAAUCAUUGGAAUGCUAUGGUAAACAAAUCUUACCUCACUGGAUUAGGCAUAGACUGGUUACAUAUCCGGAACGUGAUGGACAUGACAGCAAUCUAUGGCGGGUAUGGAAAAAGAAGAACUCUCUACUGCUGUUCCUAGAACAUAUUUCGUAUUUGGUGAUUCUUACUGGUUUUGAAUCUUUCAAAAUUUCAAUAGAUUUGCGGCAUCACUCGUCAAGCAAAAUGUGUGGGUAAUGAAUGUAGUGCCUGUUCAUUCACCAGACACGCUUCCUUUCAUAUACGAAAGAGGCCUCCUCGGUAUAUACCAUGAUUGGUGUGAAUCAUUUGGAACAUAUCCAAG